rnacentral:rRNA from 1 species
AUGCAUACUUGGUUGCAAGUGUCGAGGGAUCCAUCCGUUGGAGGUGAUCAAAGUAGAGAUGCUUAUUGGGGGAGGAUGAAAGAACACUAUGAUGUUCACAACGUGAGUGGAAUUUACCGCUCCGGGAGAUCACUUCGGUCCCGGUGGUCGACAAUCAACUCGGAUUGUCAAAGGUGGGCGGCCUGUCAAAAGGCGGUUGACAAGUUGAACCCAAGUGGCCCAAAUGAGGACGAUAGAGUAAGUGAAGAGGAGAGGAAAACCAAGAAGGGGAAGAUCAAGAAAGGAAGGGUCUUUACCUUGCCUCAUUGCUAUAACGUGUUGAAGGAUGAUGAGAAAUGGAAGAAGCGUGAAGAUUUGGAUUGA